UACAGAGGUCCCGAGCGUUGUUCGGAUUCACUGGGCGUAAAGGGUGCGCAGGUGGUUUGGCAAGUUUGAUGUGAAAGCCCCGGGCUUAACCCGGGAAUGGCAUUGAAUACUGCUUGAACUGGAGGGUUGGAGGGGGGACUGGAAUUCUUGGUGUAGCAGUGAAAUGCGUAGAUAUCAAGAGGAACACCAGUGGCGAGGGCGAGUCCCUGGGCCGAUACUGACGCUGAGGAGCGAAAGCGUGGGGAGCGAACAGG
rnacentral:rRNA from 1 species